GAUGAACGCUGGCGGCGUGCUUAACACAUGCAAGUCGAACGGAAAGGCCCUGCUUUUGUGGCGUGCUCGAGUGGCGAACAGGUGAGUAACACGUGAGUAACCUGCCCUUGACUUUGGGAUAAAUUCAGGAAACUGGGGCUAAUACCGGAUAGGAGCUCCUGCUGCAUGGUGGUGGUUGGAAAGUUUCGGCGGUUGGGGAUGGACUGGAGGCUUAUCGGCUGGUUGGUGGGGUAGUGGUUUACGAAGGCUUUGACGGGUAGCCGGCAUGGGAGGGGGACCGGGCACAUGGGGACUGCGAGACGGCCCAGUAUGAUACGGUAGGCAGUAGGGGAGAAUAUUACAGAGUAGGGGGGAGUCAGAUGCAGCAGCGCCGCGUGCGUGAUGACGUGUUUCGGGGUGUAAACCGAUGUGUACUUAGAUGUAGCGUGAUUGACGGUAAUGGAUAAAGAAGCACCGGCUAACUACGUG
rnacentral:rRNA from 1 species